rnacentral:rRNA from 1 species
AUUGAACGCUGGCGGAAUGCUUUACACAUGCAAGUCGAGCGGCAGCGCGGGGGCGAACCCUGGCGGCGGAGCGGCGAACGGGUGAGUAACAUAUCGGAACGUACCCAGUCGUGGGGGAUAACUAUCCGAAAGGAUAGCUAAUACCGCAUACGUCCUGAGGGAGAAAGCGGGGGAUCGCAAGACCUCGCGCGAUUGGAGCGGCCGAUAUCGGAUUAGCUAGUUGGUGGGGUAAAGGCUCACCAAGGCGACGAUCCGUAGCGGGUCUGAGAGGACGACCCGCCACACUGGAACUGAGACACGGUCCAGACUCCUACGGGAGGCAGCAGUGGGGAAUUUUGGACAAUGGGGGCAACCCUGAUCCAGCCAUUCCGCGUGAGUGAAAGAAGGGCCUUCGGNGUUUAAAGGCUCUUUCCUAG